GGCUUACCCACUUGCUGUCGGAAAUUGGGUAAAUAAUACCCACGUCAAGCAACUUGAGGACUUCUGCCUUAACCACAUCUCUCAUCAUAGGAUUCAACCUUCGUUGCAUUUGCCUUGUGGUUUUGGCAUUGUCCUCCAAAUAUAUCCGGUGCGUGCAAACUAAGGGGCUAAUCCCCUUCAAGUCGGCAAUAGACCACCCUAA
rnacentral:lncRNA from 1 species